rnacentral:rRNA from 1 species
UACGUAGGGUGCGAGCGUUAAUCGGAAUUACUGGGCGUAAAGCGUGCGCAGGCGGUUUUGUAAGCCAGAUGUGAAAUCCCCGGGCUUAACCUGGGAAUGGCAUUUGGGACUGCAAGGCUGGAGUGUGGCAGAGGAGACUGGAAUUCCCGGUGUAGCAGUGAAAUGCGCAGAUAUCAGGAGGAACACCGAUGGCGAAGGCAGGUCUCUGGGCCACUACUGACGCUGAGAAGCGAAAGCAUGGGGAGCGAACAGG